GUCCACGGCCAUACCACCCUGAACGCGCCCGAGCUCGUCUGAUCUCGGAAGCUGAGCAGGAUCAGGCCUGGUUAGUACUUGGAUGGGAGGAGGCAGGAUCUCAGGCCCCAGAGCCC
rnacentral:rRNA from 1 species